rnacentral:rRNA from 1 species
GGACUACCGGGGUAUCUAAUCCUGUUUGCUCCCCUAGCUUUCGUGCCUCAGUGUCAGGAGUCGUCCAGGGACUCGCCUUCGCCACUGGUGUUCCUCUUGAUAUCUACGCAUUUCACUGCUACACCAAGAAUUCCAGUCCCCCCUCCGACCCUCUAGUUGGGUAGUUUCCAAUGCCAUUUCGGAGUUGAGCUCCGAGCUUUCACAUCCGACUUACCCUACCACCUACGCACCCUUUACGCCCAGUGAAUCCGAACAACGCUUGGGACCUCUGUAUUACCGCGGCUGCUGGCAC